rnacentral:rRNA from 1 species
GACGAACGCUGGCGGCGUGCCUAAUACAUGCAAGUCGAACGCAGUGGGGACGGGUGAUUAACACGUGGGUAACCUCCCCUCAGAGGGGAUAACCCUUGGCAACAGGUGCUAAACCGCUACUGAUGGAUGGACCCGCUGUGCAUUAGCUAGUUGGUGAGGUAACGGCUCACCAAGGCCAAGAUGCAUAGCCGACCUGAGAGGGUGAUCGGCCACACUGGGACUGAGACACGGCCCAGACUCCUACGGGAGGCAGCAGUAGGGAAUCUACGGCAAUGGACGAAAGUCUGACCGAGCAACGCCGCGUGAGUGAAGAAGGUUUUCGGAUCGUAAAACUCUGUUGUUAGAGAAGCGGUAGCUAACCAGAAAGCCACGGCUAACUACGUGCCAGCCGCCGCGGUAAUUC